UACGUAGGGUGCGAGCGUUAAUCGGAAUUACUGGGCGUAAAGCGUGCGCAGGCGGUUAUGUAAGACAGGUGUGAAAUCCCCGGGCUUAAACUGGGAACUGCAUUUGUGACUGCAUAGCUAGAGUACGGUAGAGGGGGAUGGAAUUCCGCGUGUAGCAGUGAAAUGCGUAGAUAUGCGGAGGAACACCGAUGGCGAAGGCAAUCCCCUGGACCUGUACUGACGCUCAUGCACGAAAGCGUGGGGAGCAAACAGG
rnacentral:rRNA from 1 species